rnacentral:rRNA from 1 species
UACGGAGGGGGCUAGCGUUGUUCGGAAUUACUGGGCGUAAAGCGCGCGUAGGCGGCCCUGCCAGUCGGGGGUGAAAGCCCGAGGCUCAACCUCGGAACUGCCUUCGAUACUGCGGGUCUCGAGUCCGGGAGAGGUGAGUGGAAUUCCUAGUGUAGAGGUGAAAUGCGCAGAUAUCAGGAAGAACACCCGUGGCGAAGGCGGCUCUCUGGGACGGUACUGACGCUGAGACGCGAAAGCGUGGGGAGCGAACAGG